GACAGAGGGUGCAAACGUUGUUCGGAUUUACUGGGCGUAAAGGGCGCGUAGGCGGCGUGACAAGUCACUUGUGAAAUCUCCGGGCUUAACUCGGAACGGUCAAGUGAUACUGUCGUGCUAGAGUACAGAAGGGGCAACUGGAAUUCUCGGUGUAGCGGUGAAAUGCGUAGAUAUCGAGAGGAACACCCUGCGGCGAAGGCGGGUUGCUGGGCUGAUACUGACGCUGAGGCGCGAAAGCUAGGGGAGCGAACGGG
rnacentral:rRNA from 1 species